AGCGAACGGACGAGAAGCUUGCUUCUCUGAUGUUAGCGGCGGACGGGUGAGUAACACGUGGAUAACCUACCUAUAAGACUGGGAUAACUUCGGGAAACCGGAGCUAAUACCGGAUAAUAUUUUGAACCGCAUGGUUCAAAAGUGAAAGACGGUCUUGCUGUCACUUAUAGAUGGAUCCGCGCUGCAUUAGCUAGUUGGUAAGGUAACGGCUUACCAAGGCAACGAUGCAUAGCCGACCUGAGAGGGUGAUCGGCCACACUGGAACUGAGACACGGUCCAGACUCCUACGGGAGGCAGCAGUAGGGAAUCUUCCGCAAUGGGCGAAAGCCUGACGGAGCAACGCCGCGUGAGUGAUGAAGGUCUUCGGAUCGUAAAACUCUGUUAUUAGGGAAGAACAUAUGUGUAAGUAACUGUGCACAUCUUGACGGUACCUAAUCAGAAAGCCACGGCUAACUACGUGCCAGCAGCCGCGGUAAUACGUAGGUGGCAAGCGUUAUCCGGAAUUAUUGGGCGUAAAGCGCGCGUAGGCGGCUUUUUAAGUCUGAUGUGAAAGCCCACGGCUCAACCGUGGAGGGUCAUUGGAAACUGGAAAACUUGAGUGCAGAAGAGGAAAGUGGAAUUCCAUGUGUAGCGGUGAAAUGCGCAGAGAUAUGGAGGAACACCAGUGGCGAAGGCGACUUUCUGGUCU
rnacentral:rRNA from 1 species